rnacentral:rRNA from 1 species
CCUACGGGUGGCAGCAGUGGGGAAUAUUGCACAAUGGGCGCAAGCCUGAUGCAGCCAUGCCGCGUGUGUGAAGAAGGCCUUCGGGUUGUAAAGCACUUUCAGCGGGGAGGAAGGCGGUGAGGUUAAUAACCUCAUCGAUUGACGUUACCCGCAGAAGAAGCACCGGCUAACUCCGUGCCAGCAGCCGCGGUAAUACGGAGGGUGCAAGCGUUAAUCGGAAUUACUGGGCGUAAAGCGCACGCAGGCGGUCUGUCAAGUCGGAUGUGAAAUCCCCGGGCUCAACCUGGGAACUGCAUUCGAAACUGGCAGGCUAGAGUCUUGUAGAGGGGGGUAGAAUUCCAGGUGUGGCGGUGAAAUGCGUAGAGAUCUGGAGGAAUACCGGUGGCGAAGGCGGCCCCCUGGACAAAGACUGACGCUCAGGUGCGAAAGCGUGGGGAGCAAACAGGAUUAGAUACCCCUGUAGUC